CCAACGGUUGUACCUGUGCAGCCAAGAUGGAUCCCUCCUCCAGAAGGAACUGCAAAACUUCGAGUCGAUGGGGCUAUUUCCAGAGAUGGUAAUGUUGGUUCUUUCAGUGUCGUUUGCAGAAAUUCCUCAGGAACAUAUUUGGGUGCUUCAGUUAUCAAGAUCCAUGGAGUCACGGAUCCGGCGACGCUUGAAGCGCUGGCGUGUCGCGAGGAUCUUGCUCUCUCAACUGACCUGGGCCUUGCUCAAAUCCUCGUCGCAAGCGAUAGCCAAGGAGUAGUGAACGACAUCAUGAACUGCACCGGGGGAGCCUACGCUAGCACCAUCAGGGAGAUUGUGGAGACAUCAACUAGUUUUGAUAGUUGCACCUUCAUUUUUGAAGGUAGGGCCACUAAUAUUGAGGCACAUAGCCUCGUUAAGCAUGUUUUCAGUUUGGAUUAUGGGCGCCAUGUGUGGUUGUUAAACCCUCCAAACAUCUCUGGUAUCCCCAUGAACUUGAUUGAGCAAUAA
rnacentral:rRNA from 1 species